CCUAGGAGAACCGAUCAAAAAAACAAGCCACAAUGGAGAACUCGUUGAAGGUUGUGGAGCAAAACCCACAAGAGCAAGAGGAGAUAUGAUGGUUGUUUUGUCACGGAGGCGAAGAGAAGCCGACGUGUACUCCUUGCUCACAAGGACUAGGGAGAAAUACAUUUUGAAAAGCUUCGGAUCUACUUUGAAAAUAUCUACUUUGAAAAUCCAAGAUCUGUGAAUAUCUAGUAAAGAUCUACAAAGAUGGAGUAGCUGGAUAGAUAUGCCUCUCAUAGACAAGCUUUCAAUCAGUUGCACACCUUCAUAGAGCCCAUUUAUUUACCAAGUCAUCAUCUUCUUCCUCUUGCUAGGAGCUUGGAAAGUACUUGGAGUUCUUAGAGGUUUGAAAAUAGUUGUUGAAUUUGAGAAAAGCAAAACGUUCUAGUCACCCACGACUAAGAGCGUUGCUGGUUUAGAUAGUAGAAACAAGUUCUUCCGGAACAGAGCGGAGGAGCUCCAGGGAGGACUACCACCGUCCUUUGUUAAGAGCUUGGACUUAACAAGAGACUUAUCUAGCUUUGAGCUUGAAAUGGAUCUUGUCAGAUAUAACUUGAUGCAAUGAAGGGAGCGGAGGUGAAGACGGAGACUUCCAGGGAGGACAUUUUCAGCAGCUGACCACCGGAGAUAGCACAAGCAUGUCGGAGGAAGGAGCUAGAGAUUCAAAAUUUGAAACCUCGGGAAGAGGCCAGAGAGCAUAUUCUCUCUCUACAUCUCUCUCCCUCACAUUACG
rnacentral:lncRNA from 1 species